rnacentral:lncRNA from 1 species
UUUGAUAUAUCUAGAAGAGAAUAGGAUUCUCUCUUAUUGGAAUCGACUUUGUUAGAUAUAGUUCGAUCCAUGAUAGGGUUUGCAAGUCUGUCAAUCUCUUUUUAGGGUUAAGCUUUUAAGACUCUUGUUAUGUUCUGAGCUGGAUUUCAAAUUAAUCAGUCGCAAUGACUCCAUAUGAGAUAUGGACUAGAUGUAAGCC